rfam:Firmicutes bacterium CAG:194 genomic scaffold, scf69
UGAUAUUAGGGUCAGAGGUCAGAAACCACGAUGUGCUUGCACAGGAGUGGUUUCCUGACUUCCUGACCCGCCCAAAUAUGAGCAUAAAAGUGAAGCGUCAGCUUCACGUUAUGCGAAUAUUGGGCAGGAUUGUGAGAGUGCGAAGCACGGAACAAUCCGUAUGAUAUCA